AGGUCCCAAAGUGCGUGUUAAGUGGAAAAGGAUGUGGGAUUUCGAAGACAACUAGGAUGUUGGCUCAGAAGCAGCCACACAUUAAAAGAGUGCGUAAUAGCUCACUAGUCGAGAGGUCCUGCGCCGAAAAUGUCCGGGGCUGAAACACGACACCGAAGCUUAGGAACAAAGAAACCAAGGUUUCUAUAUGUUGGUAGAGGAGCAUUGUUAGCGGAACGAAGCCAUACCGGAAGGAGUGGUGGACUGCUAAGAAGAGAGAAUGCCGGAAUGAGUAGCGAGAUUGAAGUGAGAAUCUUCAAGGCCGAAUAUCUAAGGUUUCCAGGGUAAAGCUGAUCUGCCCUGGGUAAGUCGGGGCCUAAGGCGAGGUCGAAAGACGUAGCCGAUGGACAACAGGUUGAAAUUCCUGUACUGCGAUAUAUCAGAAAUGUGGGGACACAGAAGGAAAGUGUGAGCCGGGAAAGGAAAGACCGGUGCAAGCACAGGAGGAGAGAUACAGGCAAAUCCGUAUUUCAAUCCAAUGGUGUUACGCGGAGCGAACAAAAGUAGCGAAGCACACAGACCAUCUGUCGAGAAAAGCCGCUAUUGUGUAUACCGUACCCGUACCGUAAACCGACACAGGUGGAUGAGGAGAGAAUCCUAAGGCCGGCGGGAGAAGCAUUGUUAAGGAACUCGGCAAAAUGACCCCGUAACUUCGGGAGAAGGGGUGCUCACGCAAGUGAGCCGCAGAGAACUGGCCCAAGCAACUGUUUAGCAAAAACACAGGUCUAUGCAAAACCGAAAGGUGAGGUAUAUGGGCUGACGCCUGCCCGGUGCUGGAAGGUUAAGGGGAGAGGUUAGCGCAAGCGAAGCUUUGAACUUAAGCCCCAGUAAACGGCGGCCGUAACUAUAACGGUCCUAAGGUAGCGAAAUUCCUUGUCGGGUAAGUUCCGACCCGCACGAAAGGCGUAAUGAUUUGGGCACUGUCUCGACAAUGCACCCGGUGAAAUUGAAAUACCAGUGAAGAUGCUGGUUACCUGCGCCAGGACGGAAAGACCCCAUGGAGCUUUACUCCAGCUUGAUACUGGGAUUCGAUACUGUAUGUACAGGAUAGGUGGGAGACGUUGAGCAUAGAACGCCAGUUUUAUGUGAGUCGCUGUUGGGAUACCACCCUUGCAGUAUUGGAUUUCUAACCUGCACCCAUGACCUGGGUGGGGGACAAUGUCUGGCGGGGAGUUUGACUGGGGCGGUCGCCUCCGAAAGGGUAUCGGAGGCGCUCAAAGGUUCCCUCAGAAUGGUUGGAAACCAUUCGAAGAGUGCAAAGGCAGAAGGGAGCUUGACUGCGACACCGACGGGUGGAGCAGGUACGAAAGUAGGACUUAGUGAUCCGGUGGUAUAAAGUGGGAUUGCCAUCGCUCAAC
rnacentral:rRNA from 1 species